CUCUACCUUCAUUUAAUUCCUUGGUGCUUUACUAUUUGAAUCUAGAAUAUUCUUGAAGUCUGAAAGAUGGAUAGAAAAGAGUCGUGUGUACAUCAUUGGGAAUGGAGGGAAAUAAAUGACUGGAUGGUCGCUGCUUUUUAAGUUUCAAAUUGACAUUCCAGACAAGCGGUGCCUGAGCCCGUGCCUGUCUUCAGAUCUUCACAGCACAGUUCCUGGGAAGGUGGAGCCACCAGCCUCUCCUUGACUCAUGCCCAAAGUUACGGAGGACCCAGCAACCAUCUCCUGCAGCCCCUGGAAACCUCUUGACUCUUCUGUGAUGUCCCCAGUGAUCCAGCAGCCCUGGCCUUCUUUUGAUGGCUUGAACAUUUGGUCUUCAUUGAACAGUUUGUAUAUUGGAAACUUGCCAGCCUCCAUCCACAUUCCAACCUCCGUCUGCAUCCCUCGAAUAACUGGGAGAUGAAACAGGAAGCUCUAUGACACACUUGAUCGAAUAUGACAGACACCGAAAAUCACGACUCAGCCCCCUCCAGCACCUCUACCUGUUGCCCGCCGAUCACAGCCGGAAUGCAGCUGAAAGAUUCCCUGGGGCCUGGUUCCAACCGCCCACUGUGGACUCUGAGGCCUCUGCAUUUGCGGGUGGUCUGCCUGUGAUAUUUUGGUCAUGGGCUGGUCUGGUCGGUUUCCCAUUUGUCUGGCCAGUCUCUAUGUGUCUUAAUCCCUUGUCCUUCAUUAAAAGCAAAACUAAAGAAAA
rnacentral:lncRNA from 1 species